ensembl:lncRNA
GUUGGUAACGGCCUCAGGUCAUAACAGCCCGAGGCGGCUCCUCAGUAGGGCUGUAGUGUGCGGAGCUCCUCGGAUGCGAGCAGUGGCAGUAGACAGAGCCUGGUGGCUGAGGGAAGUUCCCUGCCUGAGCUGUCUCUGCAGAAAGCGGAAAAUGCCUGGACUGGGCUUCUUGCUGCCGUCUGAGACCAACUACACAGAAAUCAAACCCCAGUGGUUUAAAACACUUGCAAGCAUCUAGAGAUCUCACAGGGGUGACUCAAGAACAGCUGACGGGGUCUAAUCUGGACUUGAUGCAAGCACUGGUAAUUGGAAAACAGUUGGAGUUAAAGUUCGGAGAGGAUUUGGGUCUUUCCUCUGGGAAGAGAUGGGAUAGAAGACUACCAUUAUUUGUUGGACCACCGUAGAGUUACUGGAAGAAGACGAGUGCUGGUGCUGGAUGAAGUGAUUGACUAGUGCUAGUUUUAACACAGACCUAUGGGUUAGUAAACUCAGGUUAGACUGAGCUUUAGCAGCUGUGUUCAGGGAUGCUAGGUCUAGGGAACUG